AUCAAUAAAAUAAAAUCCCUGAAUUUAUCACAAGGCUGGUACUGGACUUUAGGCUCACAGCAAGACCUGCCCUCCAGAGAAGAAAUUUAUGACACUUUCCUUCGGUCAAGUUCUCAUGUGCGUGGUUUCAGUCAGAGGGCUCGCACGAACUCAUUGAUGGGACCUAUGGAAUAUCCGGACUGGAGCCUGGUAGAUUGGAGUCUGUAGGUAGCUAGAAUAGGUUCUUCCUGAAAUCUUGUGUCAACCUAGAAACUCUACCAGACGUUCCUCGAUGCCCCUCAAACCUCACAUCAAGGAAAUAAUCGAACUCUUCAUUUCCUGUUAUUUUUAGAAUGACAUUCCCGAAUAUUUAGUAUUACCAAAUGUACUGAACUAUACUGUAGUGCCCUCUACUGACUUCUACACAACCUCAAUCUCAGUGUAGUAAUCAUUCAUUUGAUAGUUACUUUGAUAAUUGGACAAAAAAUAGCCAUCAAUCUUGAUGUAUUUCUGACAAUACUGCUUCUCCGUCAUGCUUUUUUCAGCAACAUGUUUUAACAACCAUCCUCUUUGCCACAUCUAUCGAAUUAUGGCCCGUCAUUGAACUCCUAAAAUAAUCUCCAAUUCAUCAGGGACUAAGGAUUAUUUCUCAGAGACGAGACCAUAACAUAAAAUAUACUUUAUAGUUAUUAAUAUUGCUUUUAUUAUUAUAAUUGUUUUUGUUAUGAAACAUCCUUGUUUGACAUCAUGUUGUCAUUAUGAUUGUAUAAAAUACUGUUCUUGCCGGAGCCGACCACGAAGAGCGAAUGUCUCUUUGAGUGAGAGAUUGAUCGACUACCCCUUGAAAUAGCGGUUAGAGACGUGGACAAGUAGGUCCCACGUUCUCGUCACAGUCUAACUAAUUACGCCUUAGGAUUUGUUCCGGAUAUAAACACACUUCGCUCGAUACAACCUUCAGCAACGUUAUAAGAAAGCCUAAAAUAAACUGUUUAUGGUUAUAUUGCGACUAUUUCUGGUGGAUUCUUUUUAGGGUAAUAGGCUAGAUCAAAGCCACUUGGGCAGUAAGAGUAUGGGUUUCCAUGAUUCAUCUUUUCACAGUUAUCGUCACCUAUAUUGGUAGUUAUUGUAUCAAUGUACAGUAAUUUAAGUAUUCAGUCUCGCUAGCAAUUGCUCAAAAUAUUACUAUUCCAUAUGCUGGGUAGUGGUAUUUUUCACUUAAUUGCGGUCUGUCCGAACUAUAGGCUUUUCUGGUUAUUAAAUCCCCCUGAAUGCAAACUAGCAAUUAGAUACUGGGGAAUCCUUGUUACAAUAAAUAUUUUGGUAUAUGUUUUAUUGUCAUAAGAUUCACUGUCUUAACAAGUAAUGCUUCCAAAAAAAUAUAAACUUUGCUUUGAGAAUGCCUAACGUUAUUGCCUACUGUCUUCAGCCACAAAACAUGUAUUAGUUUAUUACCUGCCUUCAAUAAAAGC